rnacentral:rRNA from 1 species
GCUUCCAACUCGUACCUUUUGCAUCAUGAUUUAGCCAGCAACCUCCAAGCAAAGAGCACUUUAGUUUGGCCCCCCGAAACUAGGUGAGCUACUCCAAGACAGCUUAUUAAUAGAGCAAACCCGUCUCUGUGGCAAAAGAGUGGGAAGAACUUCGAGUAGCGGUGACAGACCUAUCGAACCUAGUCAUAGCUGGUUGCCUGAUAACUGAAUAGGAGAUCAGCCUCUCAACUUCUCCCCUCCCGCCUUCAAACCCCGGACCCCUAAGAAAUUGAGAGAGUUAGUCAAAGGGGGUACAGCCCCUUUGACACAAGACACAACUUUACCAGGAGGGUAAAGAUCACAAUAACACCCCAAGGAACAAUGCUCCGGUGGGCUUUAAAGCAGCCACCCCCUCAGAAAGCGUUCAAGCUCUAGCAUUCCCCCUAUCAUCCCCCGAUCCUGAUAGCCCUAUCUUAACCCCCUCACCCUACCAGGCCUUCCCAUGCAAACAUGGGAGUAAUAAUGCUAAUAUGAGUAAUAAGAGGACAUCCGCCCCUCUCCCCGCACAUGUGUAAAUCGAAA